CCAAACCACUUAAACCAUAGACAUAAUGAACCUCACCCUGGAUGGCCGAUGCAUUAAAAUUUGUCAAAUUGGAAAAUUGUAGCAAUAAGUUUUUCGAUCUUUUUUCUGGUUGAAUCAGAGACAUUACUGUAUAUUUUUUUCUUAACCAUUAUUUUUUUCUGAACCAUAGCUCUUCUUCUCCAUUCAACUGUUUCGGCUUCAUGACUUUUCCAUUAAAAACCCAUCAAUUUAACUCCUAUGUAAUUUUUACAUUUUGGAACCUUAAGGGACUGAGUAUACCAUUCAUAUAUGCAUCUGCUGCCCACACUCCUAUAUAAAUUUGUCUAAAAUUAGCAAAAGAUAGUUUGACCCAGGAGAAUCUGUAAAUUCUUCACUCUUCACUUUCUUAGAUACUUUCCUUUUUCUUUUAUUUUCUUUAAGGUUAACUGCAUUAGUAAAACAAGGGGAUUAGAGGAUCUUAGAUGCAUUAUAUUUACUAAAAAUGGACUGUGUGAUGAUGUAAUUAGGUAUUUUCUUGCCAUGCAGUGUUACUGUUUUAUGGAAAAUUCCAAAGCAUCUAUUCCUUGGAGGAUGAUGACAAAUUGCUCUCUGAGUCUUGGACUCGUUUCCAAAAAUGGAUUGUGUGAUGAUGUAAUCAGGUUUGUUUUAUGGUUGUUUGUAUGUUGGUAGAUCAGGUUGAAUGUUGGAAUUCAUGUUCAGCCUACGAGAUCAGGUUUAAGAAUGCAUGUAUAUGCCCAAUCUGUAAAAGGGUCAGUGGAGUGUGGCACAUUUACAGCUAAAUGAGUCAGAUACCUUGCACCUGAGUAUGCAGAGAAUGACAUAGUUUCCGUAAGGACAGAUGUUUAUUCAUUUGGCAUUGUUCUGUUGCAACUGAUAUCAGGACGCAAUGUGAUCAAUCAAAAUCAAGAAGAGCAAAGCCAGUCUCUACUUCAAUGGGUUCCUGAAACAGUUGUCCAGCAGAUGUUUUUGCUAAACAGACUUGAUGUGGAGCUUUGUAAGCAUGCUCAGGACAUCUUUGCACAGCAGUGGAAACAUCUUGCCGAGAAGUUGAUUAAAGUGUGUUACAUCUUUUAAGCAAACAGGUGGUACUCUUUGCUGGAUGUAUAUGUCGCCAUGGAUUAACCGCUCAAAAAGCUUCUUUGCAUUCAAGCAUUUUGUUAGAUUUACUAAGAGAACGAUGAAGCUUGUUGGUUUCCAUCAUAUUCAUCAGGGUUUUAAUUCUUCUAUGAGUGAGAUUUUUCUUAACACUUUUCUUGUUAUUAAUUGAUUAUGGAAUUAUUGUUUUGAAUUUUAGGGAUCUUAUUUGAUUAUAUUGGGGGUUGAUAUGUGGAGACUCUAUUAUUCCCUUUUAGUUAUAAUACCAUGUAGUUACCAUU